rnacentral:rRNA from 1 species
GACGUAGGGGGCCAGCGUUGUUCGGAAUUACUGGGUGUAAAGGGUUCGUAGGCGGUGUGGCAAGUCGGGAGUGAAAUCUCUGGGCUCAGCCCAGAGACUGCUUCCGAAACUGCUGUGCUUGAGUGUGAGAGAGGCUCGUGGAAUUGCAGGUGUAGCGGUGAAAUGCGUAGAUAUCUGCAGGAACACCCGUGGCGAAAGCGGCGAGCUGGAUCACUACUGACGCUGAGGAACGAAAGCUAGGGGAGCAAACAGG